ACAGUGAAAGGUCAUUUCGUCACUUCCUGUGGAAAUUUCCAGUCUAUAUACCCCAUUGACAAGUCGGUAAAGAUUGUUGACCACGUGGGGUGAGCGGGAAAAUGUUCGUUUCACAUGGACGCAAAAAUUUAAAAUUAAACUUUGUUUAAUUCUGCUAGAAAUAUAGCUUGUCAUUCUUAUUAGGUUUUGCCAUUUUAUUAAAACUUUGUUUGAAUGUAAAUUGUAGAAAUAAAAGCUGUGUAGAAGUAAACAAACAAAGAAACGACUAUGAGGUACAAAGGUCGUGCUCAUGUUGGACAACAAUGAUUUUGGAGCUGGCAAGCCAUGAGAGUAUGCAUGAGAUGGGCAGUGAUGAUACUAUUUGGAGGAAUGCUAUUUACAUGGUUUUGUGUAACCCGAAAGUGUUCGUGGGGGUGAGGGCCCAUUAUAAUGUGUCACAGGCCUGGUGUUUAUGGACAUGUCCAAUUAUUAAUUUUCAGUGUAUGAUUUGUUUUUGUAAUAAACUGUGACGUUGGGUUGUUGCACCACACAGUAUGCCAAU